rnacentral:lncRNA from 1 species
GAUGACUUGAGUUUCUUGCACUCGAAGAGAGAGACACAGUCAGAUGUGCCCAUGGUAUUGCCUAGAACGUCUUUAACUACUGAGAAAGGAUGGGGGUGACACGUUUAACUAGAUACCUGGAAUUUAGUAAGACUUCCUAGAAAUUUCAUGCUGGAGGGCAGACAUCCCCGAGUUCCAAGGAGAAGGACGCUGAUACUUGGGCUUGGUCCUGACGGCUUUGCAACACAGUGAAAUGCCGACUUGUGGAGUGGCCCCUAAAAUGAGGCAAGACCAGCACAGCUCCCCGC